CAUGCAAGUCGAACGGAAAGGCCCUUCGGGGUACUCGAGUGGCGAACGGGUGAGUAACACGUGGGUGAUCUGCCCUGCACUUUGGGAUAAGCCUGGGAAACUGGGUCUAAUACCGAAUAUGAUCAUCGGCUUCAUGGUCGGUGGUGGAAAGCUUUUGCGGUGUGGGAUGGGCCCGCGGCCUAUCAGCUCGUUGGUGGGGUAAUGGCCUACCAAGGCGACGACGGGUAGCCGGCCUGAGAGGGUGUCCGGCCACACUGGGACUGAGAUACGGCCCAGACUCCUACGGGAGGCAGCAGUGGGGAAUAUUGCACAAUGGGCGCAAGCCUGAUGCAGCGACGCCGCGUGAGGGAUGACGGCCUUCGGGUUGUAAACCUCUUUCAACAGGGACGAAGCGCAAGUGACGGUACCUGUAGAAGAAGGACCGGCCAACUACGUGCCAGCAGCCGCGGUAAUACGUAGGGUCCGAGCGUUGUCCGGAAUUACUGGGCGUAAAGAGCUCGUAGGUGGUUUGUCGCGUUAUGGGUGAAAACUCACA
rnacentral:rRNA from 1 species